rnacentral:rRNA from 1 species
CCUACGGGGGGCAGCAGUGAGGAAUAUUGGUCAAUGGACGAGAGUCUGAACCAGCCAAGUAGCGUGAAGGAUGACUGCCCUAUGGGUUGUAAACUUCUUUUAUAUGGGAAUAAACUGUUCCACGUGUGGGAUUUUGUAUGUACCAUAUGAAUAAGGAUCGGCUAACUCCGUGCCAGCAGCCGCGGUAAUACGGAGGAUCCGAGCGUUAUCCGGAUUUAUUGGGUUUAAAGGGAGCGUAGGUGGAUUGUUAAGUCAGUUGUGAAAGUUUGCGGCUCAACCGUAAAAGUGCAGUUGAAACUGGCAGUCUUGAGUACAGUAGAGGUGGGCGGAAUUCGUGGUGUAGCGGUGAAAUGCUUAGAUAUCACGAAGAACUCCGAUUGCGAAGGCAGUUCACUGGACUGCAACUGACACUGAGGCUCGAAAGUGUGGGUAUCAAACAGGAUUAGAUACCCCAGUAGUC